AUUGAACGCUGGCGGCGUGCUUAACACAUGCAAGUCGAUCGGUAACGCGGGGGCAACCCUGGCGACGAGAGGCGGACGGGUGAGGAACGCUUGGGAAUCUGCCUAUCAGCGGGGGACAACACGGGGAAACUCGUGCUAAUACCGCAUACGCCCUACGGAGGAAAGCCGGGGACCGCAAGGCCUGGCACUGAUAGAUGAGCCCAAGCCGGAUUAGCUAGUUGGAGGGGUAACGGCCCACCAAGGCGACGAUCCGUAGCUGGGCUGAGAGGACGAUCAGCCACACUGGAACUGAGACACGGUCCAGACUCCUACGGGAGGCAGCAGUGGGGAAUAUUGGACAAUGGGGGAAACCCUGAUCCAGCGACGCCGCGUGGGUGAAGAAGGCCUGCGGGUUGUAAAGCCCUUUCGGUAGGGACGAAAGCUCUCGACCUAACACGUCGGGAGGUUGACUUAACCUACAAAAGAAGCACCGGCUAACUCUGUGCCAGCAGCCGCAGUAACAC
rnacentral:rRNA from 1 species